UCUGAUAAAAGGGUACCGUACUAUUUAUAUGAAAAGUAUUUAUAUUAUAAGAUAUUUUGUCUAUCGGAUAAAAUGUCUUCGGAUAUUUUGUCGCAGAUAUUUUGUCUUCGGAUUAUAAGUGACGGUACUAUCAGAACAAUUAAUUUUGAGUUUUUUAAAAAAUUUACUUAAUUUUAACUACUGUAUAAUUUUUAUUGGUGUGAAGGCUGGUACUCGGAACCAGCGAAAUAUUACCAAUAAAUUAAGUUUUGAUGAGGAUCGGAUGUGCCUUUAAUUAUUACACUAAAAUUACUAUGAUUAUUAUUAAUUAUUAUUAUUUAAUUGUAACUGGAGAAAAUAAGCAUUAAGUAUAAGAUUAAAAUAGUAAAAAAUACAAACCCGUCACCAUCGAGGGUUAUUGCGGUGUCAGCCAGUACCCGGAGAACGAGACCGACAGUUGCUCUAGCAUGACAGUCGAUACCGAGCAGACAACUCUCUUCAGCAUCCUGUCGACCAUUGCAGGACACAACUACCAAGUAACGUGUUCUUCCCGGAUGCACGGACUCCAGCUUCACGGCCUGCAAAACGAUGAAUAAUUUACACAUCAUUUUAAAUACAACAUCUAUCAUAUUGUUCAUUUUUUGAAUUUCAACACCAAGCGCAGACUCACCUACAAAUCGAG